rnacentral:lncRNA from 1 species
CUCGAUCUCUGACUCAAGGGAAGAACCAAAUGGUUCCAGGUGAGAACAAGCAGGUUGACUAAGGAAGUGAGUGAUCAUAUCUGAAUCAGAGAAGAUGACUUCUUAGUCUGAUCAACUCUUCCUCACCAAGAAAAACUGGGAGCCAACUAUGGAACCGUUCUGGCCAGCCCCUUCCUCCCCAUCUCUUGAUUUUGGUGUUCA